rnacentral:rRNA from 1 species
UACGGAGGAUCCAAGCGUUAUCCGGAUUUAUUGGGUUUAAAGGGUGCGUAGGUGGUUUUUUAAGUCAGUGGUGAAAGCUCCUAGCUCAACUGGGAAAUUGCCAUUGAUACUGAUGAUCUUGAGUAUGAUUGAGGUUGGCGGAAUGUGUCAUGUAGCGGUGAAAUGCUUAGAUAUGACACAGAACACCGAUUGCGAAGGCAGCUAACUAAGCCAUAACUGACGCUGAUGCACGAAAGCGUGGGGAGCAAACAGG